rnacentral:rRNA from 1 species
UACGUAGGGUGCAAGCGUUGUCCGGAAUUAUUGGGCGUAAAGAGCUCGUAGGCGGUCUGUUGCGUCGGCUGUGAAAACCCGGGGCUCAACUCCGGGCCUGCAGCCGGUACGGGCAGACUAGAGUUCGGCAGGGGAGACUGGAAUUCCUGGCGUAGCGGUGAAAUGCGCAGAUAUCAGGAGGAACACCGGUGGCGAAGGCGGGUCUCUGGGCCGAUACUGACGCUGAGGAGCGAAAGCGUGGGGAGCGAACAGG